rnacentral:tRNA from 1 species
GCUGGGGUGGCCGAGUCCGGUUCAAGGCGUCCGCCUCGAGAGCGGAUGGGCGUAAGCCCGCGCAGGUUCGAAUCCUGUCCCCAGCG